rnacentral:rRNA from 1 species
GACGACGCUGGCGGCGUGCCUAACACAUGCAAGUCGAGCGGAGAUAUGUUGAAGAUUUAUCGGAUACAUAUCUUAGCGGCGGACGGGUGAGUAACGCGUGGGCAACCUGCCUCUCACAGGGGGAUAACACAGGGAAACUUGUGCUAAUACCGCAUAACAUAUUGAAAGGGCAUCCUUUUAAUAUCAAAGGAGCAAUCCGGUGAGAGAUGGGCCCGCGUCCAAUUAGCUAGUUGGUGGGGUAACGGCCCACCAAGGCGACGAUUGGUAGCCGAACUGAGAGGUUGAUCGGCCACAUUGGGACUGAGACACGGCCCAGACUCCUACGGGAGGCAGCAGUGGGGAAUAUUGCGCAAUGGGGGAAACCCUGACGCAGCAACGCCGCGUGAAGGAAGAAGGUUUUCGGAUCGUAAACUUCUUUGAUGAGGGACGAAACAAAUGACGGUACCUCAAAAACAAGCCACGGCUAACUACGUG